CGGCACGGGUGCGUAACGCGUAUGCAACCUACCAUCAACAGGGGAUAACACUGAGAAAUUGGUACUAAUACCCCAUAAUAUCUCAUGCGGCAUCGCAUGGGGUUGAAAACUCCGGUGGUUGAUGAUGGGCAUGCGUUGUAUUAGCUGGUUGGUGAGGUAACGGCUCACCAAGGCGACGAUACAUAGGGGGACUGAGAGGUUAACCCCCCACAUUGGCACUGAGACACGGACCAAACUCCUACGGAAGGCAGCAG
rnacentral:rRNA from 1 species